UACAGAGGUCUCAAGCGUUGAUCGGAUUCAUUGGGCGUAAAGGGUGCGUAGGCGGCGUGGUAAGUCGGAUGUGAAAUCUCGGAGCUUAACUCCGAAACUGCAUUCGAUACUGCCGUGCUUGAGGACUGGAGAGGAGACUGGAAUUUACGGUGUAGCGGUGAAAUGCGUAGAUAUCGUAAGGAAGACCAGUGGCGAAGGCGGGUCUCUGGACAGUUCCUGACGCUGAGGCGCGAAGGCCAGGGGAGCAAACGGG
rnacentral:rRNA from 1 species